rnacentral:rRNA from 1 species
AAUCCAUAGGUUAAUGAGGCGAACCGGGGGAACUGAAACAUCUAAGUACCCCGAGGAAAAGAAAUCAACCGAGAUUCCCCCAGUAGCGGCGAGCGAACGGGGAGGAGCCCAGAGCCUGAAUCAGCAUGUGUGUUAGUGGAAGCGUCUGGAAAGGCGCGCGAUACAGGGUGACAGCCCCGUACACAAAAGCGCAUGUGCUGUGAGCUCGAUGAGUAGGG